rnacentral:rRNA from 1 species
GUGAAUACAUAGCUUAACGAAGCGAACCGGGGGAACUGAAACAUCUAAGUACCCCGAGGAAAAGAAAUCAACCGAGAUUCCCCCAGUAGCGGCGAGCGAACGGGGAGCAGCCCAGAGUCUGAAUCAGCAUGUGUGUUAGUGGAAGCGUCUGGAAAGUCGCACGAUACAGGGUGAAAGUCCCGUACACCAAAAUGCAUAUGCUGUGAGCUCGAUGAGUAGGGCGGGACACGUGGUAUCCUGUCUGAAUAUGGGGGGACCAUCCUCCAAGGCUAAAUACUCCUGACUGACCGAUAGUGAACCAGUACCGUGAGGGAAAGGCGAAAAGAACCCCGGCGAGGGGAGUGAAAAAGAACCUGAAACCGUGUACGUACAAGCAGUGGGAGCCUCUUUUAUGGGGUGACUGCGUACCUUUUGUAUAAUGGGUCAGCGACUUAUAUUCUGUAGCAAGGUUAACCGAAUAGGGGAGCCGAAGGGAAACCGAGUCUUAACUGGGCGUUAAGUUGCAGGGUAUAGACCCGAAACCCGGUGAUCUAGCCAUGGGCAGGUUGAAGGUUGGGUAACACUAACUGGAGGACCGAACCGACUAAUGUUGAAAAAUUAGCGGAUGACUUGUGGCUGGGGGUGAAAGGCCAAUCAAACCGGGAGAUAGCUGGUUCUCCCCGAAAGCUAUUUAGGUAGCGCCUCGUGAAUUCAUCUCCGGGGGUAGAGCACUGUUUCGGCAAGGGGGUCAUCCCGACUUACCAACCCGAUGCAAACUGCGAAUACCGGAGAAUGUUAUCACGGGAGACACACGGCGGGUGCUAACGUCCGUCGUGAAGAGGGAAACAACCCAGACCGCCAGCUAAGGUCCCAAAGUCAUGGUUAAGUGGGAAACGAUGUGGGAAGGCCCAGACAGCCAGGAUGUUGGCUUAGAAGCAGCCAUCAUUUAAAGAAAGCGUAAUAGCUCACUGGUCGAGUCGGCCUGCGCGGAAGAUGUAACGGGGCUAAACCAUGCACCGAAGCUGCGGCAGCGACGCUUAUGCGUUGUUGGGUAGGGGAGCGUUCUGUAAGCCUGCGAAGGUGUGCUGUGAGGCAUGCUGGAGGUAUCAGAAGUGCGAAUGCUGACAUAAGUAACGAUAAAGCGGGUGAAAAGCCCGCUCGCCGGAAGACCAAGGGUUCCUGUCCAACGUUAAUCGGGGCAGGGUGAGUCGACCCCUAAGGCGAGGCCGAAAGGCGUAGUCGAUGGGAAACAGGUUAAUAUUCCUGUACUUGGUGUUACUGCGAAGGGGGGACGGAGAAGGCUAUGUUGGCCGGGCGACGGUUGUCCCGGUUUAAGCGUGUAGGCUGGUUUUCCAGGCAAAUCCGGAAAAUCAAGGCUGAGGCGUGAUGACGAGGCACUACGGUGCUGAAGCAACAAAUGCCCUGCUUCCAGGAAAAGCCUCUAAGCAUCAGGUAACAUCAAAUCGUACCCCAAACCGACACAGGUGGUCAGGUAGAGAAUACCAAGGCGCUUGAGAGAACUCGGGUGAAGGAACUAGGCAAAAUGGUGCCGUAACUUCGGGAGAAGGCACGCUGAUAUGUAGGUGAAGUCCCUUGCGGAUGGAGCUGAAAUCAGUCGAAGAUACCAGCUGGCUGCAACUGUUUAUUAAAAACACAGCACUGUGCAAACACGAAAGUGGACGUAUACGGUGUGACGCCUGCCCGGUGCCGGAAGGUUAAUUGAUGGGGUCAGCGCAAGCGAAGCUCUUGAUCGAAGCCCCGGUAAACGGCGGCCGUAACUAUAACGGUCCUAAGGUAGCGAAAUUCCUUGUCGGGUAAGUUCCGACCUGCACGAAUGGCGUAAUGAUGGCCAGGCUGUCUCCACCCGAGACUCAGUGAAAUUGAACUCGCUGUGAAGAUGCAGUGUACCCGCGGCAAGACGGAAAGACCCCGUGAACCUUUACUAUAGCUUGACACUGAACAUUGAGCCUUGAUG